rnacentral:tRNA from 1 species
GGAGGGAUACCCAAGUGGCCAAAGGGGGCAGACUGUAAAUCUGUUGUCAGAGACUUCGAUGGUUCAAAUCCAUCUCCCUCCACCA